UGGGGGAUAUUGCACAAUGGGCGAAAGCCUGAUGCAGCGACGCCGCGUGGGGGAUGAAGGCCUUCGGGUUGUAAACUUCUUUUGCUCUGAACAAGGCGCACCAUGGGGUGUGUUGAGUGUAGGGGUUGAUUAGCGCCGGCUAACUACGUGCCAGCAGCCGCGGUAAUACGUAGGGCGCGAGCGUUGUCCGGAAUUAGUGGGCGUAAAGGGCUUGUAGGUGGCUGGUUGCGUCUGUCGUGAAAGCUCAUGGCUUAACUGUGGGUUUGCGGUGGGUACGGGCUGGCUUGAGAGCAGUAGGGGAGGCUGGAAUUCCUGGUGUAGCGGUGGAAUGCGCAGAUAUCAGGAGGAAUACCGGUGGCGAAGGCGGGUCUCUGGGCUGUUACUGACACUGAGGAGCGAAAGAAUGGGGAGCGAACAGG
rnacentral:rRNA from 1 species